GACGAACGCUGGCGGCGUGCUUAACACAUGCAAGUCGAACGAUGAACCUUCCAUGAUCUAUUCGUAGAGAUUGGAAGCGGAUUAGUGGCGAACGGGUGAGUAACGCGUGAGCAACCUGCCUUAAACAACGGGAUAGCCUCGGGAAACCGGGAUUAAUACCGUAUGAGACCCCGCCUUCCCAUGAAGAAGAGGUUAAAGAUUUAUCGGUUUAAGAUGGGCUCGCGUCUGAUUAGCUAGUUGGUGAGAUAAAAGCCCACCAAGGCAACGAUCAGUAACCGGCUUGAGAGAGUGAACGGUCACAUUGGAACUGAGACACGGUCCAAACUCCUACGGGAGGCAGCAGUGGGGAAUAUUGCACAAUGGGGGAAACCCUGAUGCAGCGACGCCGCGUGAGCGAUGAAGGAAUUCGUUUCGUAAAGCUCUGUCCAAGGGGAAGAUAAUGACAGUACCCUUGGAGGAAGCCCCGGCUAAAUACGUGCCAGCCGCCGCCGUAAUAC
rnacentral:rRNA from 1 species